GGGACGAACGCUGGCGGCGUGCCUCAUACAUGCAAGUGGAGCGACGAACCAGGAUUUAUCCUGGGGCAAAGCCGCGAACGGGUGAGUAACACGUGGGUUACCUGCCCCGAUGAUUGGGACAACCCGAGGAAACUCGGGCUAAUACCAAAUGUGUUCUUGGUCGUGAUGACCAAGAAGAAAGGAAGCCUCGGCCUCCGCAUCGGGAUGGGCCCGCGGCCCAUUAGCUAGUUGGUGGGGUAAUGGCCUACCAAGGCGACGAUGGGUAGCUGGUCUGAGAGGACGAUCAGCCACACUGGGACUGAGACACGGCCCAGACUCCUACGGGAGGCAGCAGUGGGGAAUCUUGCACAAUGGGCGAAAGCCUGAUGCAGCAACGCCGCGUGAGGGACGAAGGCUUUCUGAGUUGUAAACCUCUUUCAGCAGGGACGAUUGUGACGGUACCUGCAGAAGAAGCCCGGCCAACUACGUGCCAGCAGCCGC
rnacentral:rRNA from 1 species